UACAGAGGGGGCAAGCGUUAUUCGGAAUUACUGGGCGUAAAGCGUGCGCAGGCGGUUUUGUAAGUCUGUCGUGAAAGCCCCGGGCUCAACCUGGGAAUUGCGAUGGAGACUGCAAGGCUUGAAUCUGGCAGAGGGGGGUAGAAUUCCACGUGUAGCAGGUGAAAUGCGCAGAUAUCAGGAGGAACACCGGUGGCGAAGGCGGCAUCCUGGACCGACAUUGACGCUGAACGGCGAAAGCUAGGGAGCAACGGG
rnacentral:rRNA from 1 species